rnacentral:rRNA from 1 species
GCGAAGGUAGCGUAAUCACUUGUUCUUUAAUUGAGGACUAGUAUGAAUGGCUUCACGAGGACUAUACUGUCUCCUUUUUCUAAUCAAUGAAACUAAUCUUCCCGUGAAGAAGCGGGAAUAACUUUAUAAGACGAGAAGACCCUAUGGAGCUUUAAACAAUUGGAAUACUUGCUUUUACUAAUUACCUCCGGGGACUAAAUAUAUUUAAGCAUUAUUAAUUUCUAGUUUUAGGUUGGGGUGACCACGGAGUAAAACUUAACCUCCACGCUGAAAGUAACGCCUUCUUAGCAAAAAGCCACAUCUUUAUGCAUCACCAAACUGACUCACAUUGACCCAAUUAUUUGAUCAACGAACCAAGUUACCCUAGGGAUAACAGCGCAAUCUACCUCAAGAGCCCGUAUCAACAGGUAGGUUUACGACCUCGAU